CAUGACUCCAAAAGAGAAUUGAAGCUACUGAAGCCCUGCUUCCUAUGAAAUCUCCCACCUACUUGAGGGAUUCAAGAAGUCCUGAAUUUAUCCAUGUUGCUAUGAGGCCAGAUAUCAUUACAGAAACUGUAGUGGAGGUGUCAACUGAGGGGUCUGAACCAACGGAUACCUCUCCUAUUCCUACAUCACCAGAUAGCCAUGAACCAAUGAAAAGGAAAAAAAUUGGCUGUAAACCAAAGACCCAACAAUCACCAAUUUCCAGUGGGUCUCCUGAGUCAGGUAUAAAAAAAAAGAUGAGAGAAGGAAAAGGAAACAUAAUAUAUUUGUGGGAGUUUCUUUUAGAUCUACUUAAAGAUAAAAAUAUUUGUCCCCUCUAUAUUAAAUGGAUUCAGAGAGAAAAAGGCAUAUUCAGGCUGGUGGAUUCAAAGGCUGUCUCCAAGUUUUGGGGAAAGCAUAAGAACAAACCAAACAUGAACUAUGAAACUAUGGAAUGAGCUUUGAGAUUCUAUUACCAAAGGGGAAUUAUUGCAAAGCUACCAAAAGGGAAGUCUUGCAAAGGUUGAAGGACAGAGGCUUGUAUAUCAGUUUAAGGAUAUGCCCAAAACCAUAGUGGUCACAGAUGAUGACAGAAGUGAAAUCUGUAAUGAAAAUUUAGCAGGAGCUACUGAUAAAAAAUCAUUGGAACGAGUGUCACUGUCGGCAGAAAGUCUCCUGAAAGCAGCAUCCUCUGUUUGUGAUAGAAAAAAUUCAUCCCCCAUAAACUUCUCCAGAGCAGAGAAGAGUGUAGCUAGAGUCGUGAAUAUCACUUCCCCUGGUCACGAUGCUUCAUGCAGGUUUCCAACUACCACUGCAUCUGUAUCAGCAACAGCAGCUCCAAGGACAGUUUGUGUGGCAAUGCAAGUACCUGUUGUAAUGACAUCAUUGGGUCAGAACAUUUCAACUGUGGCAGUUCAGUCAGUUAAUGCAGGUGCACCAUUAAUAACCAGCACUAAUCCAACAACAGCGACCUCUCCAAAGGUAGUCAUUCAGAUAAUCCCUACUAUGAUGACAGCUUCUACUGAAAACCAAGAAAAAAUCACCAUGCAGCCUGUCAAAAUUAUUACCAUCCCAGCUACACAGUUUGACUUUGUCAACUACAGACAAAGUCAAAUUUAACUGGAUCAGGAAGCAUUGACAUUGUUGGAACACCAUUGGCUGUGAGAGCACUUACCCUUGUUUGUUUCAAUAGCCCAUGGUACACCUGUAAUGAGACUCUCAGUGCCUACUCAGCAGGCAUCUGGCCAGACUCAUCCUCUAGUUAUCAGUUUGGUCAUAAAGGGGCCAGAGGUUAACUCAGAAGCAGUGGCAAGAACACAAGAACAUGAUGUGAAAACUUUGCAGCUGAAAGAAGAAAAGCCGGCAGAUGGAAAUGAGACAGUUACCCACGUAGUGGUUGUCAGUGUACCUUCAGCUAUUGCCCCUUCUUGUAACUAUGAAAAUGAUGGACUAGUGACAUGUGAGAAAUAA
rnacentral:lncRNA from 1 species